rnacentral:rRNA from 1 species
CUGGCGGCGUGCCUAAUACAUGCAAGUCGAACGGCGUUUUCUAUGGAAGCUUGCUUCCACUGAGAAGAUAGUGGCGAACGGGUGAGUAACACGUGGGGUAAACCUGCCCAUAAGAGGGGGAUAACAUCCGGAAACGGGUGCUAAUACCGCAUAGUUUUCUUGAUCGCAUGAUCGGGAAAGGAAAGACGGCCUUUGUGCUGUCGCUUAUGGAUGGACCCGCGGCGUAUUAGUUAGUUGGUGAGGUAACGGCUCACCAAGACGAUGAUACGUAGCCGACCUGAGAGGGUGAUCGGCCACAUUGGGACUGAGACACGGCCCAAACUCCUACGGGAGGCAGCAGUAGGGAAUCUUCCGCAAUGGACGAAAGUCUGACGGAGCAACGCCGCGUGAGUGAAGAAAGGUUUUCGGAUCGUAAAACUCUGUUGUCAGAGAAGAACAAGUUGGAGAGUAACUGCUCCAGCCUUGACGGUAUCUGACCAGAAAGCCACGGCUAACUACGUGCCAGCCGCAGC